UUGGAAGAUGAUGACCAUAUUCUUACAUAUAAUGAGAAAAUCCUUCAAUGAGAAGAUUUCCAACCGAUUUGCAUGUCAGUCUGAUCCAG